rnacentral:rRNA from 1 species
GACGAACGCUGGCGGCGUGCUUAACACAUGCAAGUCGAACGGAAAGGCCCUGCUUUUGUGGGUUGCUCGAUUGGCGAACGGUUGAUUAACACGUGAUUAACCUCCCCUUAACUUUGGGUUAACUUCAGGAAACUGGGGCUAAUACCGGAUAGGAGCUCCUGCUUUUUGGUGGGGGUUGGAAAGUUUCGGCGGUUGGGGAUGGACUCGCGGCUUAUCAGCUUGUUGGUGGGGUAGUGGCUUACCAAGGCUUUGACGGGUAGCCGGCCUGAGAGGGUGACCGGCCACAUUGGGACUGAGAUACGGCCCAGACUCCUACGGGAGGCAGCAGUGGGGAAUAUUGCACAAUGGGCGGAAGCCUGAUGCAGCAACGCCGCGUGCGGGAUGACGGCCUUCGGGUUGUAAACCGCUUUCGCCUGUGACGAAGCGUGAGUGACGGUAAUGGGUAAAGAAGCACCGGCUAACUACGUG